GUAGGUGGCAAGCGUUGUCCGGAAUUAUUGGGCGUAAAGCGCGCGCAGGCGGUCCUUUAAGUCUGAUGUGAAACGCCCACGGCUCAACCGUGGAGGGUCAUUGGAAACUGGGGGACUUGAGUACAGAAGAGGAAAGCGGAAUUCCAAGUGUAGCGGUGAAAUGCGUAGAGAUUUGGAGGAACACCAGUGGCGAAGGCGGCUUUCUGGUCUGUAACUGACGCUGAGGCGCGAAAGCGUGGGGAGCAAACAGGAUUAGAUACCCUGGUAGUCCACGCCGUAAACGAUGAGUGCUAAGUGUUAGGGGGUUUCCCGCCCCCCUUAGUGCUGCAGCUAACGCAUUAAGCACUCCGCCUGGGGAGUACGGCCGCAAGGCUG
rnacentral:rRNA from 1 species